GAUGAACGCUGGCGGCGUGCCUAAUACAUGCAAGUCGAGCGAACGGACGAGAAGCUUGCUUUUCUGAUGUUAGCGGCGGACGGGUGAGUAAAACGUGGAUAACCUACCUAUAAGACUGGGAUAACUUCGGGAAACCGGAGCUAAUACCGGAUAAUAUUUUAAACCGCAUGGUUCAAAAGUGAAAGACGGUCUUGCUGUCACUUAUAGAUGGAUCCGCGCUGCAUUAGCUAGUUGGUAAGGUAACGGCUUACCAAGGCAACGAUGCAUAGCCGACCUGAGAGGGUGAUCGGCCACACUGGAACUGAGACACGGUCCAGACUCCUACGGGAGGCAGCAGUAGGGAAUCUUCCGCAAUGGGCGAAAGCCUGACGGAGCAACGCCGCGUGAGUGAUGAAGGUCUUCGGAUCGUAAAACUCUGUUAUUAGGGAAGAACAUAUGUGUAAGUAACUGUGCACAUCUUGACGGUACCUAAUCAGAAAGCCGCGGCUAACUACGUG
rnacentral:rRNA from 1 species